GGUUGGUCCCAUGGUAGUGGGUUAUCAGAACUUAUUAACAUUAGUGUCACUAAAGUUUGUAUACAACCCCUGAGUGCUAAAUUUGGCUUUAA
ensembl:misc_RNA Y_RNA Y RNA